rnacentral:tRNA from 1 species
GUCAGCAUGGCCGAGUGGUUAAGGCGUCGGACUUAAAAUCCUAUGGGGUUUCCCUGCGCGGUUCGAACCCCGCUGCUGACG